UACGGAGAGUGCUAGCGUUGUUCGGAAUCAUUGGGCGUAAAGGGCGUGUAGGCGGCCUGUCAAGUCCGGUGUGAAAUCCCUCGGCUCAACCGAGGAAGUGCACUGGAUACUGUCGGGCUCGAGUAUGGGAGAGGGAAGCGGAAUUCCCGGUGUAGAGGUGAAAUUCGUAGAUAUCGGGAGGAACACCCGUGGCGAAGGCGGCUUCCUGGCCCAAUACUGACGCUGAGGCGCGAAAGCGUGGGGAGCAAACAGG
rnacentral:rRNA from 1 species